rnacentral:lncRNA from 1 species
GACAACACGAAGCCCAAGCACCCUGAAAUGAUGCUUGGGCGAAGGAAAUCGAGUUCCACCGCCCGGGCGUCUUCCCUGUCCACCUGGGCGAUGGGGCCUCAAAGCUUGGGCAUCCAACUCAAAGCCUGGGCCUUACAUGAAGAUCGUUCACCGCCCGAGCGGCCUCUUUGGGCGUCUAAGCGUCGAAUUUUCGUGGACCAGGUCCCAUUCCUGCUCUGUUUCGACUCUAUUGGACCAGACCCUGUUUUGGC